rnacentral:lncRNA from 1 species
AUUUAAAAUAUAUAUGCUAUAAUUUUAAUAGACAUUCCUUUCUGUAGUCAAUUUUUAUCAAUUUCUACAGGAUAAAAAUAUGCCAUUUAAGCUGAUAAAUUUCUUUUUAAAUUACCUAUGUUGAAAUCAGUUGGAUGGUCAGUCUUUCAAAGUGGUAAAAUAGUCUUAACAUUUUGUGGAUCCUGGCUCCCACUUUCCAAUUUUUCAGAAGUCCAAUUUGACCUACUAACUCAUUCUUCAAAUUUUCAGUUGACCCAUGGAUUUUGGCCAGCCUUUGGUAGCCUCCGAAAAAGUCAGUUCUUAAAAAUAACCUAUAUGAUUUGGCAGCAUAAUUCAAACUAACUUAACCUACUUUGAAAUAUUAAUAUUUCAAAAUUCACUAUCUUCCAAUGAUACAAAUUCUUAUUUCUAACCACUCAGGUAGGAUACUGAUACAAAAAACACUUUUAUUGACUGCAAAUUGUAUUCAGUGCAUAACACAAACAUUUUUGGUCUUCUGACUCAUUAACU